rnacentral:rRNA from 1 species
UAGGGAAUCUUCCACAAUGGACGCAAGUCUGAUGGAGCAACGCCGCGUGAGUGAAGAAGGUUUUCGGAUCGUAAAGCUCUGUUGUUGGUGAAGAAGGAUAGAGGCAGUAACUGGUCUUUAUUUGACGGUAAUCAACCAGAAAGUCACGGCUAACUACGUGCCAGCAGCCGCGGUAAUACGUAGGUGGCAAGCGUUGUCCGGAUUUAUUGGGCGUAAAGCGAGCGCAGGCGGAAUGAUAAGUCUGAUGUGAAAGCCCACGGCUCAACCGUGGAACUGCAUCGGAAACUGUCAUUCUUGAGUGCAGAAGAGGAGAGUGGAAUUCCAUGUGUAGCGGUGGAAUGCGUAGAUAUAUGGAAGAACACCAGUGGCGAAGGCGGCUCUCUGGUCUGCGACUGACGCUGAGGCUCGAAAGCAUGGGUAGCGAACAGG